AAUUUCUCUUCAGACUUUACUUAUCUCGCGAUUGAACUCUCGAUUAUCAAGAGCCCUGGUUUCUAGGUUAAUACCAAAUUAUUUUUUUUUUCUCUCUUUAUGUUUGUAGAUUAAUAUUUUCUUAAUUCACUGGUAUAAUUUGUUUUUAUUAUUAUCUGUGCAUAUAAAAUCAUGGUUUAAAUUGCGGUUGCGGUGAUGGUUAUGCUGCAAACCUUAAUAUUGUAGCAAAAUGCAGACCAAUGUCCCACAUUGAGAAGAUAAGAAGCUCAAUGUGGUAUUUAAACAAUGAGAUUCUCUCACUUUAAGGACUAGUCUUUUUGACUUAGGCUAUCCUGAUGAACUUAAGUCAUAAUAACAGUUAAUGCGAUUGGUGUUGCUAUGUUGUUGUAGAAAUCUCUAAAAUAGUUACAUUAUAGCUGUAAUUCCAGUUUUCUGGCCAUAGUUUAGAAUAAUGCUAAUGUGUGUAUAAUAUUUUAUUAGUCUUAUGAGUUGGGCUCUCCUCACGAGAUUAGGUCAUAAUAGCGGCUGAUUCGAUUGUAAUUGCAGUUGAUCUCUAAAAUCUUUAUAUAGCGGAUUACAGCUGCUGACUGUAACAAGUGUGUAUUAUUUAUGAUUAGUCUUUUCGAUUGCGCUAUCCUCAUGAGCGUAAGUGAUAACAGUGGUUGAUGCAGUCACAAUUGUAGCUGUGACUUUUGAUGUUGUUGCAGACUUCCAAUGAUCUCUAAAUCUUUUAUAUUUCGGCUCCAACCAGAGUUUCUAACUGCAAUUUAGAACAAUAUGUAUAAUAUUUGAUAUCUGGUAUCUGAUUUGUUAUUACAUUUAAUAAAGUUUUGAAAAUUUUCUGAAGGUUAUUGGAAGAAAGAAAACAUGGCCAGCAA
rnacentral:lncRNA from 1 species